UCCCACCUUUGGGCUCCGGACAUUUCCUCUGUUUUCCUGUCCAAAUCCCUGAAGGUUCUAUUACCUCAGACAUGUUUGGCACGGCCAUUUGGAACAGUCCACUUUUUCCUGCCUUGACAUCUAAAAGGACUGACUCCUGUGUGAAUGAGGCUGCUGUCCAUCUGAGCGGCAGCCUGUGUGUGGUACAGGCCUCAUCGUGGUUCCGACCAUAUUGAUGAGAGCGACACCUAUCCCGAAGACACCGGAGAAGACCUUCAGCACCUACCUGAUCCUGCUGUUCCAUCUCCAGAGGGCUUCUCUUCCACAGAGAUCACCAUUCAUCCGUUGGACUCCUCAGAGUUCCUCCUUGACAGCUUUUCACUAGCUCAAUAGUACAGGUCCUGAGCAUCACCACCGCACACAACCCAGCACCUAGACGGAAGUCAGGCUGUCUGCUCGCUGGGGGCUCUGCAGCCCUGGCUAAUUUUCAGUCCCCACCCUGACUCCAAUGAUGCUGGGAAAUGAAGGUCACCAUUGCAGUUGUAAUACCUUUUGGUAGGGCCCUCUAAAGGAUCAGUCCAGAGUGCCAGGAGCUGGCAAACUCCAAAUGGAGGGAACACGCCACUGCAUACAAACACAAUCGAUGUGCCUCAGGUGCUUUUCAUGGAUACAGUAUAUGACGCGAGUACCUCAGCCUCCCUCAAUAUGUAAACAACUGAAUUACUUUCCUUAAGAGUAUCUCUUACCAGAAGACAGUAUGACUUAAAGAGAGAAAAAAACAAUAGCUAAACAAUCAUUUUUAAUUUACCUCAGAAUGUUUCACAUUUCCCCCCUCCUGUAUGUAAACUGGCUGUCAAAAUAAUUGUAGCCCACUUUGCAAAGUAUAUUCAACCAUCAGUUCUAGAUAUUUUUAACCAGACACUACAAUAAAAUGAAGGGGUUUCAAAACAAACAAAAUAAAACACUGGC